UCCAUGGGCGCGCGCCAGUAGAGGUCAAACAAAUUACGUUUGUGUGUGUGUGUGUGCGCGCGCAAAAGAGGGCCGCCAAGCCCGGGGGGCC
ensembl:ncRNA T03G6.6 ncRNA